rnacentral:rRNA from 1 species
GGCUUAAACUCAAAGGAAUUGACGGGGACCCGCACAAGCGGUGGAUGAUGUGGAUUAAUUCGAUGCAACGCGAAAAACCUUACCUACCCUUGACAUGUCAGAGAUCCCUGAGAGAUUGGGGAGUGCCGCAAGGAAUCUGAACACAGGUGCUGCAUGGCUGUCGUCAGCUCGUGUCGUGAGAUGUUGGGUUAAGUCCCGCAACGAGCGCAACCCUUGUCGUUAAUUGCCAUCAUUGAGUUGGGCACUUUAACGAGACUGCCGGUGACAAACCGGAGGAAGGUGGGGAUGACGUCAAGUCCUCAUGGCCCUUAUGGGUAGGGCUUCACACGUCAUACAAUGGUCGGUACAGAGGGUUGCCAAGCCGCGAGGUGGAGCCAAUCCCAGAAAGCCGAUCGUAGUCCGGAUUGGAGGCUGCAACUCGCCUCCAUGAAGUCGGAAUCGCUAGUAAUCGCGGAUCAGCAUGUCGCGGUGAAUACGUUCCCGGGUCUUGUACACACCGCCCGUCACACCAUGGGAGUGGGUUCUGCCAGAAGUAGGUAGCUUAACCGCAAGGAGGGCGCUUACCACGGCAGGGUUCAUGACUGGGGUGAAGUCGUAACAAGGUAGCCGUAGGGGAACCUGCGGCUGGAUCACCUCCU